AGAGUUUGAUCAUGGCUCAGGAUGAACGCUGGCGGCGUGCCUAACACAUGCAAGUCGAGCGGAAAUACCAAAUGUACUCGUACAGGCGGUAUUUUAGCGGCGGACGGGUGAGUAACACGUGAGCAACCUGCCUUUUGCUGGGGAAUAACAUUGGGAAACCAGUGCUAAUACCGCAUGACGUCAUAGGGGGACAUCCCCUGGUGACCAAAGGAGAAAUCCGGCAGAAGAUGGGCUCGCGUCCGAUUAGUUAGUUGGCGGGGUAACGGCCCACCAAGACCGCGAUCGGUAGCCGAACUGAGAGGUUGAUCGGCCACAUUGGGACUGAGACACGGCCCAGACUCCUACGGGAGGCAGCAGUGGGGAAUAUUGGGCAAUGGGGGAAACCCUGACCCAGCAACGCCGCGUGAAGGACGAAGGCCUUCGGGUUGUAAACUUCUUUGAUCAGGGACGAAAACAAUGACGGUACCUGAAGAACAAGCCACGGCUAACUACGUGCCAGCAGCCGCGGUAAUACGUAGGUGGCGAGCGUUAUCCGGAUUUACUGGGUGUAAAGGGCGUGUAGGCGGGUUUGCAGGUCGGGUGUGAAAGAUUCGGGCUUAACCCGGAGAGGUCAUCCGAAGCUGCAGAUCUUGAGUGCUGGAGAGGAUAGUGGAAUUCCUGGUGUAGCGGUAAAAUGCGUAGAGAUCAGGAGGAACACCAGUGGCGAAGGCGGCUAUCUGGACAGUAACUGACGCUGAGGCGCGAAAGCGUGGGGAGCAAACAGGAUUAGAUACCCUGAUAGUCCACGCCGUAAACGAUGAAUACUAGUGUAGGGGGUAUCGACCCCCCCUGUGCCGCAGUUAACACAAUAAGUAUUCCACCUGGGGAGUACGGCCGCAGGUUGAAACUCAAAGGAAUUGACGG
rnacentral:rRNA from 1 species